AAUUGUAGUGUAGGAACGUAGGAUGCAAGACGUACAGCGAGAUCAUACAAGUUUGCAUUGAAUGAACGCCGGCCUUCAUUCCUACUUCUAAACGGCGGAAGAUUUCCUCCACUGAAAUAUUACGAACUAUACUCGCGCUAAACUGGUGUUGUGUUAGAUUAGUUUAUUUCGUGAGCGCUGUUGAAUCCGACGUGUAUAAUUCUUUUUAAAAUUUAUUUUGCGUGAAGAAAUUGUGCAGAUUCAUCAUGUAUAUUUCGUCGGUAUUGUUUUCAUGUGCAUUGGUAUUCAUCACAGUGACAGCUCAGCAAGAAAGAAAAGCCAUAGCUGUGGUGAGAAGCGUUGGAAGUGACGGUAUCAAAGGAAACAUUACUUUUACUCAAACCAGAAGCGGAGUAUUGAUUAGCGGAACCAUUGCUGGUCUUAGUAAAGGACAUCACGGAUUUCAUAUUCAUGAAAAAGGUGAUCUAAGUAAUGGCUGCGUUUCAACAGGAGGCCACUUCAAUCCCGACAAAAAAAACCACGGUUCCCCUUCAGAUAAAGAAAGACACGUCGGUGAUUUGGGUAACAUCGAAGCUAACGAUCUAGGAGUCGCCGUUUUCAACUACACCGAUGAACGUAUUUCGUUGAUCAAUACCAAAAGAAACAUUUUGGGACGUGCUGUUGUAGUUCACGCUGAUAGAGAUGAUCUAGGACGUGGAGGUGAAACUGACAGUUUAACUACUGGACAUGCUGGCGGUCGUCUGGCUUGCGGAGUUAUCGGCACACUUGAUGUGGUUGCAAAUCAAUUCGAAUGCAUUCAUUGAUGGAACCAGCUGAGGUGAAAUGACUUUUUAUUAAAAUUAUGGUUUUCUUUAUAUGGGAAUAUUAUUAUGGAGUAUGGCAGAUAGUGGUGCAUUCCCAACAUCUAUUAUUAAUCGGAAUUUAUCAGUUAUCGCAUUAGCAUUCGUUUUACUAAUGGGAAGAUACUUUCAAUAGCUCUGAUACAGCAAAAAACCAAAUUACCUGUCUGGGUUCACUUUUUUCAAAAUGUUUUGUGAAAUAAUUUAUUUAUUGAAAAUUUUAUUUAUGAUUUGUAAUUUAUUUAUUUACCUAUUUAUUUAUUUGUGUUGUAAAAAAUGUUGCAUUUAGUUGAUAAUAAUUUCACAUCGAAUCGAAUAAAUAUUUUUCAUCUUUGAUAUAAAUAA